rnacentral:rRNA from 1 species
UGGGGAAUAUUGGACAAUGGGCGCAAGCCUGAUCCAGCCAUGCCGCGAGAGUGAUGAAGGCCCUAGGGUUGGAAAGCUCUUUCACCGGUGAAGAUAAUGACGGUAACCGGAGAAGAAGCCCCGGCUAACUGCGUGUCAGCAGCCGCGGUAAUACGAAGGGGGCUAGCGUUGUUCGGAUUUACUGGGCGUAAAGCGCACGGAGGCGGACUAUUAAGUCAGGGGUGAAAUCCCGGGGCUCAACCCCGGAACUGCCUUUGAUACUGGUAGUCUUGAGUUCGAGAGAGGUGAGUGGAAUUCCGAGUGUAGAGGUGAAAUUCGUAGAUAUUCGGAGGAACACCAGUGGCGAAGGCGGCUCACUGGCUCGAUACUGACGCUGAGGUGCGAAAGCGUGGGGAGCAAACAGG